rnacentral:rRNA from 1 species
GGGUUGUGAGGUUAAGCGACUAAGCGUACACGGUGGAUGCCCUGGCAGUCAGAGGCGAUGAAGGACGUGCUAAUCUGCGAUAAGCGUCGGUGAGGUGAUAUGAACCGUUAUAACCGGCGAUUUCCGAAUGGGGAAACCCAGUGUGUUUCGACACACUAUCAUUAACUGAAUCCAUAGGUUAAUGAGGCGAACCGGGGGAACUGAAACAUCUAAGUACCCCGAGGAAAAGAAAUCAACCGAGAUUCCCCCAGUAGCGGCGAGCGAACGGGGAGGAGCCCAGAGCCUGAAUCAGUGUGUGUGUUAGUGGAAGCGUCUGGAAAGGCGUGCGAUACAGGGUGACAGCCCCGUACACAAAAAUGCACAUAUUGUGAGCUCGAUGAGUAGGGCGGGACACGUGGUAUCCUGUCUGAAUAUGGGGGGACCAUCCUCCAAGGCUAAAUACUCCUGACUGACCGAUAGUGAACCAGUACCGUGAGGGAAAGGCGAAAAGAACCCCGGCGAGGGGAGUGAAAAAGAACCUGAAACCGUGUACGUACAAGCAGUGGGAGCCUCUUAAUGGGGUGACUGCGUACCUUUUGUAUAAUGGGUCAGCGACUUAUAUUCUGUAGCAAGGUUAACCGAAUAGGGGAGCCGAAGGGAAACCGAGUCUUAACUGGGCGCUAAGUUGCAGGGUAUAGACCCGAAACCCGGUGAUCUAGCCAUGGGCAGGUUGAAGGUUGGGUAACACUAACUGGAGGACCGAACCGACUAAUGUUGAAAAAUUAGCGGAUGACUUGUGGCUGGGGGUGAAAGGCCAAUCAAACCGGGAGAUAGCUGGUUCUCCCCGAAAGCUAUUUAGGUAGCGCCUCGUGAAUUCAUCUCCGGGGGUAGAGCACUGUUUCGGCAAGGGGGUCAUCCCGACUUACCAACCCGAUGCAAACUGCGAAUACCGGAGAAUGUUAUCACGGGAGACACACGGCGGGUGCUAACGUCCGUCGUGAAGAGGGAAACAACCCAGACCGCCAGCUAAGGUCCCAAAGUCAUGGUUAAGUGGGAAACGAUGUGGGAAGGCCCAGACAGCCAGGAUGUUGGCUUAGAAGCAGCCAUCAUUUAAAGAAAGCGUAAUAGCUCACUGGUCGAGUCGGCCUGCGCGGAAGAUGUAACGGGGCUAAACCAUGCACCGAAGCUGCGGCAGCGACACUAUGUGUUGUUGGGUAGGGGAGCGUUCUGUAAGCCUGUGAAGGUGGCCUGUGAGGGUUGCUGGAGGUAUCAGAAGUGCGAAUGCUGACAUAAGUAACGAUAAAGCGGGUGAAAAGCCCGCUCGCCGGAAGACCAAGGGUUCCUGUCCAACGUUAAUCGGGGCAGGGUGAGUCGACCCCUAAGGCGAGGCCGAAAGGCGUAGUCGAUGGGAAACAGGUUAAUAUUCCUGUACUUGGUGUUACUGCGAAGGGGGGACGGAGAAGGCUAUGUUGGCCGGGCGACGGUUGUCCCGGUUUAAGCGUGUAGGCUGGUUUUCCAGGCAAAUCCGGAAAACCAAGGCUGAGGCGUGAUGACGAGGCACUACGGUGCUGAAGCGACAAAUGCCCUGCUUCCAGGAAAAGCCUCUAAGCAUCAGGUAACAUCAAAUCGUACCCCAAACCGACACAGGUGGUCAGGUAGAGAAUACCAAGGCGCUUGAGAGAACUCGGGUGAAGGAACUAGGCAAAAUGGUGCCGUAACUUCGGGAGAAGGCACGCUGAUAUGUAGGUGAAGCGACUUGCUCGUGGAGCUGAAAUCAGUCGAAGAUACCAGCUGGCUGCAACUGUUUAUUAAAAACACAGCACUGUGCAAACACGAAAGUGGACGUAUACGGUGUGACGCCUGCCCGGUGCCGGAAGGUUAAUUGAUGGGGUUAGCGGUAACGCGAAGCUCUUGAUCGAAGCCCCGGUAAACGGCGGCCGUAACUAUAACGGUCCUAAGGUAGCGAAAUUCCUUGUCGGGUAAGUUCCGACCUGCACGAAUGGCGUAAUGAUGGCCAGGCUGUCUCCACCCGAGACUCAGUGAAAUUGAACUCGCUGUGAAGAUGCAGUGUACCCGCGGCAAGACGGAAAGACCCCGUGAACCUUUACUAUAGCUUGACACUGAACAUUGAGCCUUGAUGUGUAGGAUAGGUGGGAGGCUUUGAAGUGUGGACGCCAGUCUGCAUGGAGCCGACCUUGAAAUACCACCCUUUAAUGUUUGAUGUUCUAACGUUGGCCCGUAAUCCGGGUUGCGGACAGUGUCUGGUGGGUAGUUUGACUGGGGCGGUCUCCUCCUAAAGAGUAACGGAGGAGCACGAAGGUUGGCUAAUCCUGGUCGGACAUCAGGAGGUUAGUGCAAUGGCAUAAGCCAGCUUGACUGCGAGCGUGACGGCGCGAGCAGGUGCGAAAGCAGGUCAUAGUGAUCCGGUGGUUCUGAAUGGAAGGGCCAUCGCUCAACGGAUAAAAGGUACUCCGGGGAUAACAGGCUGAUACCGCCCAAGAGUUCAUAUCGACGGCGGUGUUUGGCACCUCGAUGUCGGCUCAUCACAUCCUGGGGCUGAAGUAGGUCCCAAGGGUAUGGCUGUUCGCCAUUUAAAGUGGUACGCGAGCUGGGUUUAGAACGUCGUGAGACAGUUCGGUCCCUAUCUGCCGUGGGCGCUGGAGAACUGAGGGGGGCUGCUCCUAGUACGAGAGGACCGGAGUGGACGCAUCACUGGUGUUCGGGUUGUCAUGCCAAUGGCACUGCCCGGUAGCUAAAUGCGGAAGAGAUAAGUGCUGAAAGCAUCUAAGCACGAAACUUGCCCCGAGAUGAGUUCUCCCUGACUCCUUGAGAGUCCUGAAGGAACGUUGAAGACGACGACGUUGAUAGGCCGGGUGUGUAAGCGCAGCGAUGCGUUGAGCUAACCGGUACUAAUGAACCGUGAGGCUUAACCUUACAACGCCGAAG